rnacentral:lncRNA from 1 species
AUAUAACAAUGACCAUAUUCCUGACUUGGUUUAGGAUAUUUUUUAAAAGAAAAAAAUGGUGGGUUGAACCUGGUUUUGUGGCAUGCCAAACCUCCCUCUUUUAUGGCCAUGUGAAAUAUCACAUUAAAAUGACAACACAAUAUUACAGGACUACAAUACAAAUAAAUAGGAGAACACAAUUGACAAAGAAACACACGAAUAAUAGCUAACAAAAGGCAACAGGUUUAAAAUUUAAUACGCCAGAAGUGCAUUUUGUCCACACAAGACAUACUAGUGACGCCCAGAUACAAAAGUUUGAAAGCCGAAACAAGUACAAAAAUGAACAACAUCGUGGACCAAAAGUUCAAAAAAGUUGUGCCAAAAACGGCCAGGGUUUUCUGUUAGGUACCAGAACAUCACUAUUGUUUAGAAUAAUUUAUACUUACAGUAAAUAUUAUACUAUAUAAAAGAUAUACAUGAUAAAACUGAAGUAUUAACUAAUUACAGGAAACAACCGAAAUACAUUACAUAACCCGACAAAAUCCAACACAAAAAAUAGACACAUCCGAAUUAGUCAAAACCUC